GGAAACCAGUCAGUUCUUCAAAAAUAAUCAUCAAUCUAGUUAUUGGAAGAACGCUGAUCAGUUUGUAAAAUCUAGUGUUAACAAAGGGGAGGUCUUACAGCAUCAUGUUUCUGAGGACAACCAGCUUUUGCACUCAUCUCGGGAUAUUGACGACAAAGAGGGUAAAAUGCAUGAGAUGGAGAACAGCGAUAAACAGGAGAACUCAAAUGACAGCCAUCGCUCUAACUUAUCCCCUCAUUCUUCUACUGGUGAUGUUAGGGAAAAUGUAAUGUCAGAUGCUAGGGAUUCAAGGUUUUUGCCUACUGGGAAGCACAAGUUGUCUAAUGAGGUUGGCCGGAGAAAUUCGUGGGCUAACAAGUUUCAGCAUCAUCCUAUAGGAAACGUCGAUAAGGAUGUGGCCCACUAUGGACAGUCUCCGUUGGCUCAGGUUCCUAAUAUUGAGACCGAUUUGGCAAAGGUGCGUGCAUCUGAUGAGCUGACUGACAGAAAAGGCUAUGGGGUGCACUCUGGUGGUGGCUUUCCUGGCGGUGCAUCCAAUAUGUCUACACUGAUAAAUAGAUCUAUCGGGCUUCCUCCAAAUACGGCUCCAAAAUCUAGCCCAGACAUGCUACAACUUCUUCAGAAGAUGGACCCAUCGAGAGAGCGUGGUUCUACGGCUCACUUCAACAGUUAUGAACAUAAAGCAUCGUCUGAUGUUCCUGAAGCCGAAAAUUCGGAUGGAUCUGCUGGACACCUCUGGCGAGGUCAGUCUUCUGCCUCUCAAGGUUUUGGUCUUCAACUUGGCCCUCCAUCACAGCAGAUCUCAGUCCAAACCCAUCUCUUGUCAUCUCAAGGCCCUAAUGAAGCAGUUAAGUCUUCACAUGCAAACCAUUCUGUUGCCGAGGUUAGAGAGAAAAGUCGGGGUCAGAUGCUCCGUCCCCAUCAGACUCAACCCUCGCCUUCCCCUUCUGAUCUCUUACAGCAAGAGUCGCAGCGUAACACUUCUACAAUUAAAGAAACUGAUACGCAUACCAUGUCUGGGAACUUCUCUUCAGCAUUCGAAUCAGCUUCUGGUCAUACCUACUUGAGAAAUCCGAUUCAAAAUCCCCACAUGGUUAGGGCUAGUGGGGAAGAUUCAACCAAUCAGUCGAUUGGUGUAUCUUUUGAUGAACAUGCUUCCCAUUCAACAGAAAGAGGAGAUUGUGGCAGAGGACCAUUGUCUGACGGGGCUGGCAAUAUACCGUAUAGCCCUGCGCUCUCUACAGGAAAGUCUCAGUUAAGUAGUGCCAAUGGACCCCAUGGAAGCGUCUCCAUUAAUCGACCUUCAUCCAAGGAGCCAGUGCCAGCUUCCCCAUCUUUUUUAAUGCCUGGGAUAUCUCUGCAGGAUUCAUCUUCCAAGAAGUUAACUAAUAUGCGGACCAACUUUCCACCACCACCGCACCUUUUUAGUAGUCAGUAUAGCAAGGAUGCUUCUCAUAUUUCCCAGCUGAAUCAGACGAAUAUUACGGAGUCAUCAUUAUCUGCUCCAGAGAGGCAAGGUGAUCCAGAUGCCAAUAAAGGAGGGACUUUCAUGUCUCAGCUUGGUAGUGGUUCAGGGAAUCCUCUGCAUUCUGUCGAGGGGGAAGAACUGGGAGAAAAGGAGAACAUUUCUGAGCCAGUACCUACGGUAAAUGUUAACUUAGUGCAGGAGAUGGAUGAUUCACAGGGUAGAGAAUCUAUUGUCAAGAAUCUCCAUGAAUCUACCUCUAUGCAGAGAGAUAUUGAAGCCUUUGGCCGAUCACUGAAACCAAAUAGCUUUCCUAAUCAAAGUUAUUCCUUACUAAACCAAAU
rnacentral:misc_RNA from 1 species